GGGGAUUUAGCUCAGCGGCAUAAGCGCCUGCCUGGCAAGCAGGCAGUCGUGAGUUCAAUUCCCG
rnacentral:tRNA from 1 species